rnacentral:rRNA from 1 species
UGGGGAAUAUUGCACAAUGGGGGAAACCCUGAUGCAGCAACGCCGCGUGAGGGAAGACGGUUUUCGGAUUGUAAACCUCUGUCUUUAGGGACGAAAAAAAUGACGGUACCUGGAGAAAAAGCAACGGCUAACUACGUGCCAGCAGCCGCGGUAAUACGUAGGUUGCAAGCGUUGUCCGGAUUUACUGGGUGUAAAGGGCGUGUAGGCGGAGAAGCAAGUUGGGAGUGAAAUCCAUGGGCUCAACCCAUGAACUGCUCUCAAAACUGUUUCCCUUGAGUAUCGGAGAGGCAAGCGGAAUUCCUAGUGUAGCGGUGAAAUGCGUAGAUAUUAGGAGGAACACCAGUGGCGAAGGCGGCUUGCUGGACGACAACUGACGCUGAGGCGCGAAAGCGUGGGGAGCAAACAGGAUUAGAUACC